GCCAAAUAAGCCCUUUCCUCCCCAACUUGGUUGUUUUUGGUCAUGGUGUCUCACCACAGCAAUAGGAACCCUAGCAAAAACAGAGAUGGAUUAAAAAAUAACGAUAACAGUCAGAUACAUAAAGCCCAUAAGCAUUUUCUUCCCUAAAUCCUUCAGGCACAUUAUCACUGCAUCAGAGAGAUUGUUGACUGGAAUAGAAGUUGGUAUCAGGAACAGGUUUGUUGCUAUGCAAACGCUGACCACAUCUUCUAAGAGAAAUGUGAGAGAAUUUGGGACCUUAGGCUGGGAAACACCUUGCUAUUACAGCACUUCCAGGGCCAUUUUAGUGGAAGCUUGGAAAACAGUGAUACUAUAGGCACCGUGGACUGUGGGUGCCUGAUUUCUGAAAUCUCAGAGAGGGGAGAAGGAGUUUACCAUGAAUUGGGCCUGGGCUUUCCCUGUGAUAUUCUGAGGGAGAUUCUGUUUGUUGUUUAGGAUGGGGCUGAAGAGUCAGCUUCCUUAACUGCUGCACUGAGAGAUGAAACUUUCUCCCUUUCAUUAGGACAAUAAGAAAGGCUCCCUAGAGACGUCACAAAGCUGAGGCCAGGCCACAUCUUGUGCUGCAAACCAAAUUGGCAAUCUAAGAGGGUCAUCUGGUUCUAGUUUUGAAGGGAAUCAAGGAGAGCCCGUGAGGCUUGGCACCUGGUCGCAGGGUCAGGGUCUUCGCAGAACGGCUUGAGAGGCUGAAGGGGAAGCCUCAGGUGGUAUGGAGGCUCCAGGAUAUUGGAGAUGCCGGGACUGUAGGAUGACCAUCGAUGGGAGCUGCAGAUUCGCAAAUGUCUGAAGGAAGCAGAAAAUCGUGUGCAGUGAAUGGCAGGGCUGUGGACCGCCCAAGGAUUUUGUGUAACAGAAGGCUGUCUGGCCCUAAACUAUCCACUUUAAUUUGUACUGCUGGAUUUUGAGUUUUGCUUAAGUGUGAAUUCAUUUUAUUAUUAUUUUUUUAAUGUCUAAGUUCUUCCCUUUUGGGAUAAGAAUACUUUAAAACAUACAUAUUUUUUUGACACAGAAUCUCUUUACAUGGCCCUUGUAGUCUUGGAAUUCACAGAAACCUCCUCUCUCUUUCUGCUGGGAUUAAAGGCCUGUGCCACCCUACCCAGCAAGAAUAUUUAAGUAUAAAAUUUGCUUUUUAUUUUUAUCUUGUAGACAUCCACUCUUAAGUGGCUUUGGACUGUUAAAGAGACUUCCAACACACUACAACUUUUAUUGACCUUGAACUUUUACAGUGUCACGGUAUUUUAUAUUAUGAUAUUAACAUGAGACUUUAGAGACAAGGAGUAAAAAGUUUCUGUUUACAAAUGAUGCUUCUGUGUCAGUCAGCGAGCAGUGGUUUGGUUUGGUUCAGAGGGGCCUUUUUUUUUUCCAGAUAUUUUUGUUUCUUUGUGAAGAGGGGAUCUUAGUGAACAGCCUUGGCUGUCCUGCAACUCGCCAUGUAGACCUAGAAUUGACGGAGAUCCAGCUGUCGCUGCCCAUUUUUAUUUAUUUCUUUAGUGUGUGUGUGUGUAUAUAUGUGUGUGUAUGUGUUGGUUUAUGUGUGUGUAUGCGUGCACGUGCAAGUGUGAGUGCACGUAUAUGUAUGCACAUAUGUGUAAGGAUGCCUGUGAAGGCCAAAGGAGGGUUUUAAGUCCCCUGCACGUGGAGUUACAGGCAGUUUCUCAGGCUCCAGAGGUCUGCCCUUCCCAGCCUUCCUCAGUGUGGUCAUAGGUGCACCACCAUGCUCUGUGCUGUUCUUUUUGUUGCUGCUGCUGUUGUUUUAGUUGGGUUGGGGUUGACCUCAGAACAUUUGCACUUUACCUACUGAGCCAUCUCGUCAGCCCCAUGUCAGCUGUUUUACAUCAUAUUUUCUGUGCAUAGGUGUUGUGUUUGCAUAGAUGUUGCGAUCCCCUGUGUGUCAGUGGAGGUGUCGGGUCCCCUGGGUCUGGAGUUGUGGUCUGUAUUAGGAGCCUCCAUGUGAGUGUGAGGGAACCAAACCUGGGUCCCUAGAAGAGCAGCUAGUGCUGCCUGCCAUCUCUGCAGCUUCCAGAUCCUUCUAAGUCAGAUCCAGUGUGCUGUAUUAACUGCUCAUAACAGUGGAACAGUUUAGACUUAAGGGACUUUUAGCAUGCAUUCUUUUGGUUUUGAACUGAGCCUUGCUCUAUAGCCCAGGCUAGCCUUAGUGUAGACAGCUGCCCUACCUGAGAUUCUGAAGUGUUGCUACUAUAGGUAGGGUUGUGUGUGUGUGUGUGUGUGUGUGUGUGUGUGUGUGUGUAUGUUUGUGUUUGUAUGUAUGUAUCUACGCGUGUGCGUACAAGGGGUGUGUCUUUAAGGAGUAUAUUACCUAUAUCUUUUCUUCAUCUAAAUUAACAUUGUGUGUGCGUGCACACACACGCACGUACUGGUACCCAUGGAAGCCACAAGAGGGUGUGUGAUACCAUAGAACUGAGUUACAGGUGAGCAUGGGAUCUGAGGAUUGGUCCUGAUGAUAGAGCAUCAAGUGUUGUUAACAGUCAACCAUCUCUCCAGCAACUCAAGAAGAAUUUUCUUAGUAAUGAAUGGUUUGACCUCCCUUAAUCCUUCCUAUAGGUAGCAAAUGCAGGUUGGUCCCUGGAGGAUGUUGAUGUGUUUGAAAUCAAUGAAGCCUUUGCAGCAGUGUCUGCAGCAAUAGCUACAGAACUUGGAUUAAACCCCGAGAAGGUGAACAUCUAUGGAGGAGCCAUUGCCUUGGGCCAUCCUCUGGGAGAAUCUGGCUGUAGGAUUCUAGUGACCUUCUCACACACCCUGGAGAGAGUGGGUGGGACUUGUGGUGUUGCAGCCCUGUGCACUGGGGGUGGGAUGGGGAUGGCAAUGAGUGUUCAGAGAGGAUAAGCCACCACCCUUACAGUUCUCAUUCAAACACUAAACAGAACGUGAGACCAGAGGACCAAACUGAGGACAGGAACCCAGGUCGACAGCUUGCUGUACUUUAGUGUGAGACACCCAAGGCUAAGACGUUGAGACAUUGCACUUGACACUGUUAUAAAACAGGGAAAUCCAGUCAGUCAUCAAGGGCUCCAGAGUGAGCGACAGUUUCAUAAUUUCCAUGUUUAUUAUCUUUGCUUUCCGGGUAUAAUUUUCUCUGAUCAUUGAUUUGUUUGUUUGUUUGUUUGUUUUUGACUCAGAGUGUCACCAUAUAGCCUGAAAAUCAUUUUAUAGAUGAGGUUGGCUUUGAAUUCCCAGAGAUCCACCUUUCUGUGCCACCUGAGUACUCGAUUUAAACGCAUGCGCCAUUAUGCAGGGUCCCAAAAUGAUCCAUUCAAUGAAUGGGGAUGUGGCUUCUGGUUUGAACUUCAGGCUCUUCGCUCAAACACCCCUGCUUGCUUGUUGUCUUGUGGUUUCCCAUUGAUCAAACCAAGACCAAUCCUGUAAUGGAAAUUGGAUUCAGUGGCCUCUUCUAUGCUGAGGUGGUGGGGUAGGUAUUCUAGCGAUUCUAGUCAGAAGAUUGGCCGUCCCAACCAGUGUGCCUCUGGGUUGUUGGAAAGUGAGCAGCAAGCGCCUUCCGUGCAUUUGUUUCUCUGCUUGACCAGACAGGAUUGUACUUGCUUCAAACCUCUACCUUGACUUCCCCAAAAUGAUGAACUGUAACUGGAAUUGAAAGCCAAAUAAACUCUUUCCUCCCUUGCAUUGCUUCUCAUCAGUGAGUUUGAUCAUGAAAAGAGAAACAAAGCCAGAGUUUAGGAUGUGGUAAGGACAGCCAGCUUCAACAGAGAAGCCUUAGUUUGCAGCAUGUUACUGAGAGGUCCCUUUGGGAUCAUUUUUGAUAAGCCGUAUGAUACUCAGAUGAACCUGCAAGGGGGUAGUCACAUGUGCUGUGGAAAUCAUAAGCAAACUAUAAUAGAGAGACAUUGUAGAAGUUGGUUAUUGAAGCCAUGUGUCACAUCUGCAUGACUGGUUGGGGACAGGCCAAAUACACAUCAGCAAUCCCCUAAGAGUAUCACGGAGUAAAAGUUCCUACCCAAGUAAUGUCCCAGCAGCUGGAGUCAGAACAGGGUCAUCCAUAACAGGACAACAGCCAACACAGUGUGCACCAACCUGCAUAGCCAGAUAUGUCACUGCUUAGCCCGUAGUCUAAUGAAAAGAAGUCUUGUCAGUCCCUGUGGGACCAGGGAUACACAUCAGGAACAAGUUGUGCCUAUACGUCAGGAACAUGUAAUACGGUUGUACAAACAUUUACCAGAAAUAAGCCAAGACUUAUUUAUGUGCAGAUGUGUUCCCAUGUUUGUAUAUGCACAUUGGAGACAGGACAGCCUGGAACCCCCUGGAACAGACUUGUGAGCCACCAUGUAGGUGCUAAGACUGAACCCAGGUCCUCUACAAGAACAGCUAGUGUUGGUACCUGAGCCGCCAGUGUGUGAAUGUCGGGUGUAGUUCUGCAGGUUGAAUGAAAACAAGUACACGGGUCACCCAUUGUCAGAGAGUACCACCAACACUUUACUGAGAUCUCCUUAUAUACCAGAGGGAAAAGUCAUGGAAAACAACAAGGCAGGUGCAAAUCCCUAACCAGGAA
rnacentral:sRNA from 1 species